rnacentral:rRNA from 1 species
UGGGGAAUAUUGGACAAUGGGCGCAAGCCUGAUCCAGCAAUGCCGCGUGGAUGAAGAAGGUUUUCGGAUUGUAAAGUCCUUUCGACGGGGACGAUGAUGACGGUACCCGUAGAAGAAGCCCCGGCUAACUUCGUGCCAGCAGCCGCGGUAAUACGAAGGGGGCUAGCGUUGCUCGGAAUGACUGGGCGUAAAGGGCGCGUAGGCGGAAUGCUUUGUCGGGCGUGAAAUUCCAGGGCUUAACCUUGGGACUGCGUUCGAGACGGGUAUUCUAGAGUGGAGAAGAGGGUCGUGGAAUUCCCAGUGUAGAGGUGAAAUUCGUAGAUAUUGGGAAGAACACCGGUGGCGAAGGCGGCGACCUGGUCUUUUACUGACGCUGAGGCGCGAAAGCGUGGGGAGCAAACA